rnacentral:tRNA from 1 species
GGGGGUGUGGCUCAGUUGGUAGAGCGUUCGCUUAGCAGCUUCAAAUCUGCGAAAGGUCCUGAGUUCGAUUCUUAGCUCCUCCA